rnacentral:rRNA from 1 species
AGACGGGACCCGCACAAGCAGCGGAGCGUGUGGUUUAAUUCGUUGCUACACGAAGAACCUUUACCUGGGUUUGACAUGCUAGUGGUAAUGAAGCGAAAGCUAAGUGACCCGCAAGGGAGCUAGCACAGGUGCUGCAUGGCUGUCGUCAGCUCGUGUCGUGAGAUGUUCGGUUAAGUCCGCUAACGAGCGCAACCCUCGCUGUGUGUUACAAGUGUCACACAGGACCGCCGGUCUUAAGCCGGAGGAAGGUGGGGAUGACGUCAAGUCAGCAUGGCCUUUAUGUCCAGGGCUACACACACGCUACAAUGGUCAGCACAAUAGGUAGCCAAGCCGCGAGGUGGAGCCAAUCCUCAAAGCUGGCCUCAGUUCAGAUCGCAGGCUGCAACCCGCCUGCGUGAAGCCGGAGUUGCUAGUAACCGCAGGUCAGCAAUACUGCGGUGAAUACGUUCCCGGGUCUU